GUUAUUUAUUUCUUAUUGCAGUGGGUGUUGUCUCCCAAGUACUUCAAUUUCCCGUUUCCUAUGACGUUGACAAUGAUUCACAUGGCAUUCUCCGGAAUCGUUGCAUUUUUCCUUGUCCGUGUUUUCAAGGUUGUAGCUCCUAUCAAAAUGACAUUUGAAAUAUAUGCAACAUGUGUAAUACCUAUAAGUGCCUUCUUUGCAUCAAGUAGUUGGUUUGGCAACACUGCCAAUUUUCACAUAUAUGUGGCUUUUAUCUAGAUGCUCAAAGCUCUAAUGCCAGUGGAAACAUUUUUCAUGGGUGUCAUGUGUGGCACUGAUAAACCAAGGUGUGAUGUGUUCAUAAACAUGGUGCUGGUCAGCGUCGGAGUUGUCGUUUCCAUGAGUUGGUGGCCGUACAUGCUUGAUGUAUUAGGUGUUUUUACUGUAGUCACCAUGUGGGCAGUUGUUGUAACUGAGGGUUGUAGGAAAAUAAAGUUGCAGUACUAUGAGUUUAAACUAGCAUCUGCUGUAUUAGAUGCAUUUGGUGGAGAGACAUAAGCUUUGGUUUCAAUUCUUCUUUGUGCAUCAUAGAUAGUACAGCUCAUGGCUAAUCCGAGCAGGGAGCAAUAAUUAAUUUUAUGUGAACUAGGACUAUUGUUGAAUUCAUUUAAGGAG